rnacentral:rRNA from 1 species
CAAAAACAUGUCUUUUUGCAUUUUAUAUAAAGUCUAACCUGCCCACUGAUUAUUAAAUGGCCGCAGUACACUAACUGUGCAAAGGUAGCAUAAUAAUUAGUCUUUUAAUUGAAGGCUGGAAUGAACGGUUGGACGAGAUAUUAGCUGUUUCAUUUAAAUUUAUAUUAGAAUUUUAUUUUUUAGUCAAAAAGCUAAAAUAACAUUAAAAGACGAGAAGACCCUAUAAAGCUUCAUAAAAAAUAAUCUUUAAAGAAAAAGGUUCUGUUCAAUAAUUUUUAUAUUUUUAUUUUGUUGGGGUGAUGUUAAAAUUUAAUAAACUUUUAAUUUUAUUUCCAUUAAUUUAUGAGCUAUUGAUCCGUUAAUUACGAUUAAAAAAUUAAGUUACUUUAGGGAUAACAGCGUAAUUUUUUUGGAGAGUUCAUAUCGAUAAAAAAGAUUGCGACCUCGAUGUUGGAUUAAGAGAUAAGUUUAGGCGCAGCAGUUUAAAUGUUAAGUCUGUUCGACUUUUAAUUUCUUAC